GACGAACGCUGGCGGUGUGCUUAACACAUGCAAGUCGAACGGAAAGGCCCUGCUUUUGUGGGGUGCUCGAGUGGCGAACGGGUGAGUAACACGUGAGUAACCUGCCCUUGACUUUGGGAUAACUUCAGGAAACUGGGGCUAAUACCGGAUAGGAGCUCCUGCUGCAUGGUGGGGGUUGGAAAGUUUCGGCGGUUGGGGAUGGACUCGCGGCUUAUCAGCUUGUUGGUGGGGUAGUGGCUUACCAAGGCUUUGACGGGUAGCCGGCCUGAGAGGGUGACCGGCAAAAUUGGGACGAGAAUCGGGCCCAGACUCCUACGGGGGGGAGGGGGGGGGAAAAUUGCACAAGGGGCGGAAGCCUGAUGGAGAACCGCCGGGGGGGGGAAGACGGCCUUGGGGUGGAAAACCGCUUUCGCCUGGAACAAAGGGGGAGUGACGGUAAUGGGUAAAGAAGCACCGGCUAACUACGG
rnacentral:rRNA from 1 species